GCCCUAAACGAUGUACACUAGUUGUUGUGGUGCUAGUCACUGCAGUAAUACAGUUAACACAUUAAGUGUACCGCCUGGGGAGUACGGUCGCAAGAUUAAAACUCAAAGGAAUAGACGGGGACCCGCACAAGCGGUGGAGCAUGUGGUUUAAUUCGAAGAUACGCGAAAAACCUUACCUGGCCUUGACAUUGAUAGAAUCCUGUAGAGAUACGGGAGUGCCGGCUUGCCGGAACUUGAAAACAGGUGCUGCACGGCUGUCGUCAGCUCGUGUCGUGAGAUGUUGGGUUAAGUCCCGCAACGAGCGCAACCCACGUCCUUAGUUGCCAGCAUUUCGGAUGGGAACUCUAAGGAGACUGCCUUCGCAAGGAGGAGGAAGGUGUGGACGACGUCAAGUCAUCAUGGCCCUUACGGCCAGGGCUACACACGUGCUACAAUGGGGCGUACAAAGAGCAGCAAUACCGCGAGGUGGAGCAAAUCUCAAAAACGCCUCCCAGUUCAGAUUGCACUCUGCAACUCGAGUGCAUGAAGUUGGAAUCGCUAGUAAUCGUAGAUCAGCAUUGCUACGGUGAAUACGUUCCCGGGUCUUGUACUCACCGCCCGUCACACCAUGGGAGUUGAUUUCACCCGAAGCGGGGAUG
rnacentral:rRNA from 1 species